UAAUGGUGAAAUCUCAAUAACUGAAAUAAUAUUGGCAACUUCAAUAAUGGGCGAUUUCAUUUUGUUUUGGACUGGCGAUCUCAUUUUUCUUUAACUGGCGAUCUCAAUAUUGGCGAUCAUCGAUAUAGGCGAUCAUAAUAAUGGCGACAUAGGUAUGGGCGACCAUAAUAUAGGCGACAUCAACAAUGGCGAUAGUAAUAUUU
rnacentral:lncRNA from 1 species